rnacentral:lncRNA from 1 species
AGAGGCGAAGUCAAAAAUUCGAUUAACAUCCCUUACACUAAAACCAAAAACGUGCUCACAAUAUAAAAGAUCAAACUACCUAAAGGAGAAACUUGAAAGUAAAAGCUACAAAUAUGACUAUGGAGUCUUUAGGCGUCUCCUUCGUCGUCCUCCUGCGGAACUGGCCCGGGAACAAUGUCUUCCUAAUCUGAAAUGAUUAAAUAAGGAAUGAGCUACACUAGCCCAGUAAGGACAUCACGAUAUCUCACCGUCACGGAGGUAAAGGUGGGUAGAAAACACAAAAAGACCAAUGGAGCAUAAUUUACAACAAAAC